rnacentral:rRNA from 1 species
AGAGUUUGAUCAUGGCUCAGGACGAACGCUGGCGGCGUGCUUAACACAUGCAAGUCGAACGAUGAAGCAGAGCUUGCUCUGUGGAUUAGUGGCGAACGGGUGAGUAACACGUGAGCAAUCUGCCCUUGACUCUGGGAUAACUGCGGGAAACUGUAGCUAAUACCGGAUACCACACCUUGGGGCAUCCCGAGGUGUUGAAAGAAUUUUGGUCAAGGAUGAGCUCGCGGCCUAUCAGCUAGUUGGUGAGGUAAUGGCUCACCAAGGCGACGACGGGUAGCCGGCCUGAGAGGGUGACCGGCCACACUGGAACUGAGACACGGUCCAGACUCCUACGGGAGGCAGCAGUGGGGAAUAUUGCACAAUGGGCGAAAGCCUGAUGCAGCAACGCCGCGUGAGGGAUGAAGGCCUUCGGGUUGUAAACCUCUUUUAGCAGGGAAGAAGCGAAAGUGACGGUACCUGCAGAAAAAGCACCGGCUAACUACGUGCCAGCAGCCGCGGUAAUACGUAGGGUGCAAGCGUUGUCCGGAAUUAUUGGGCGUAAAGAGCUCGUAGGCGGUUUGUCGCGUCUGCUGUGAAAAUCCGAGGCUCAACCUCGGACCUGCAGUGGGUACGGGCAGACUAGAGUGCGGUAGGGGAGAAGGGAAUUCCUGGUGUAGCGGUGGAAUGCGCAGAUAUCAGGAGGAACACCGAUGGCGAAGGCACUUCUCUGGGCCGUAACUGACGCUGAGGAGCGAAAGCGUGGGGAGCGAACAGGAUUAGAUACCCUGGUAGUCCACGCCGUAAACGGUGGGUGCUAGUUGUGGGUUCCAUUCCACGGAAUCCGUGACGAAGUUAACACAUUAAGCACCCCGCCUGGGGAGUACGGUCGCAAGACUAAAACUCAAAGGAAUUGACGGGGGCCCGCACAAGCGGC